AUCUUCUUUGUUAAUAGGGUGGUCCAUAUGGUGGAAAUUGGAAUGCGUCUGAGUCAGGUAAGUGGCAAAAGAAUACAUAUCUUUUAAAAUUUGAGAUGCUUUUUAUGUGUUUAUAAAGAUUAGUAUGGUAAAGUCACAUAUGGUGAGACAAUUUAGUUAUGGGCACAUAUUUGUUACUGUAGAGACUUAAAGAUAAAGAAGAAAGUUAGUUGGUGUGUAUGGAAAUAUAUUGCCGUGACGAAUCUCAAUGUUGGUAUUUGGGGACCAGGUCACCGUCCAUUGAGUUAUGCUGAUUUGAAAUUUGAUUUUGAUUUCAUUAUCGUAAGUGGGGGGAAGUGCAUGAUUUUCUUGGUAUAAAGUAAAAUAAACAUGUUAAAUUGAUCUGAAAAAGUUUUAUAUUUAAUGGCCUCACUGUUAGUAUGUGGUAUUGUUUUUGUUGAGAAAAUUAUAUGGUUUAGUUAGUUAAGUCUUGGUGAAGUUCUUUAGAGUUUUAAGUAUUGGUGGUUUCAAAUUUUGUAAUUAGCUUGUUGGGGGUUAAGUUGUUUCCCCUUUCUAUUGUAAUUAGAUUUAAUUGGAUUCAACGAUGACAUAUUUCUCUGCUCUGCUCUGAUACCGUAUGAAUAAUUGGUGGUUUAGUUACUGAUGAAUUGAAUAAAAUUACAAGCUCGUUUUAUUAUUUAUUCAUAAGUUGUAUGAUAUCAGAGUAGAGAAAUAUUUCAUCAUUGAAUCAAUGAUCAUCUACUAGAGAACACAUUGCACCCACAAAUGCCUGCUAUUUACAUCUUAGAGUAAACAAGCUUGAUAGUUGUUUCCCCACCAAUGAAUAAAACACAAUUAUGAUAUUUGGAGUUGUCACAUGAAAUGUGCCCUAGUUUCUGAAAAUUGAAUCAAAUUCAUCAAUGGCAAGAUCAAACAACUAGCUGAAGAUGGUCCCUUCUUUGAAGUGUGGGAAAGAUACAGUGGAAUUAUGAUUUAUUGGAUUGGAUUGCAGGUACGGAGCUAAAAUAGGUCAAAUGCGAUGGAAUCGACAUAACUUGAAAUAUGACACAGCAUAACAAGAUUCGAGCUUGGGGGGUUUUGGGAGGUCAAAAAUCCAAGCUGCAGAAAUCACGAAAAGAGACCAAAUCUGCCUUUUAUAUUAGAAUGGUUUCAGAUUUUAUAAUUAGAAGCAAUUUGAAGCGUGCUUUUACGUUUCAAUUUAUAGAAUCUCAAUGGAGGUAUUCACUGGACACAAGAUGGAUGAAAGCAAAAAGAAUUUCACUAAAGUUUAACUUGGAUACGAAGAAUGUUAACUCCAUCAAAAAAGACCAAAGAAUACCAUAAAGGUCCUUGUGGUUUGGAGAACAUGUACAGAAAACAUUGGCCAUAUACCUCUCUUGUUCUCCCAUCCAUUUUUUUUUCUUUUAAAAUGGAAAAUCUGUCGGAAUAUUUUAAGGAAACUUCUACGGUACAACUCACAAAUUAAGUGCAGCCACAAAUAGAUAGUCAAAUCAUCACAAAGGUGUAUUUCGAGUAAGUGGCAAUAUAUUGUUGUUCAUAGCAUGUUUUUUGUCCAUAAUAUUUUUUAAUUGGCAACAGCCGAAACUAACAAUAUUUUCAUGAGGUAGUCAUAUGGAUAGCACUUGUGUGCCAUUAUGUUAUAUAACAGUGAC
rnacentral:lncRNA from 1 species